AGAACUGCCGUUGAUACUGCUAGUCUUGAGUAUAGUUGAGGUAGCUGGAAUGAGUAGUGUAGCGGUGAAAUGCAUAGAUAUUACUCAGAACACCGAUUGCGAAGGCAGGUUACCAAGUUAUAACUGACGCUGAGGGACGAAAGCGUGGGGAGCGAACAGGAUUAGAUACCCUGGUAGUCCACGCCGUAAACGAUGCUAACUCGUUUUUGGGCUUUAGGGUUCAGAGACUAAGCGAAAGUGAUAAGUUAGCCACCUGGGGAGUACGACCGCAAGGUUGAAACUCAAAGGAAUUGACGGGGGCCCGCACAAGCGGUGGAUCAUGUGGUUUAAUUCGAUGAUACGCGAGGAACCUUACCAAGGCUUAAAUGGGAAUUGACAGCUGUAGAAAUACGGUUUUCUUCGGACAAUUUUCAAGGUGCUGCAUGGUUGUCGUCAGCUCGUGCCGUGAGGUGUUAGGUUAAGUCCUGCAACGAGCGCAACCCCUGUCACUAGUUGCCAUCAUUAAGUUGGGGACUCUAGUGAGACUGCCUACGCAAGUAGCGAGGAAGGUGGGGAUGACGUCAAAUCAUCACGGCCCUUACGCCUUGGGCCACACACGUGAUACAAUGGCCGGUACAGAGGGCAGCUACACUGCGAAG
rnacentral:rRNA from 1 species